CACUUUAAAAAUAAUUUGCUACUUUCCUUCAAAAAGUAUGUUACAAUACAAGUGUGAAAUACAAAAGUGAACAAGGUUCAAUUAUAAAAAGUUCAAAUAAACGAUUUCAUAAAAAUAAACCAAACCAAAUAUACCAGCAUAGAUUUCCUAAUCCAUUCAUAGGUUUCACUGAACAUAACAAUAAACCGCUACGGCUAUACAAAGUUAUCAAAAUCGCCUGACUAAUAGUUGUACAUCCCCCUAAAACAAAACACUACCACCUAAAAGUCAAUCCUAGUUAAGAACGAUCGGAGCAUCUUGGGUACCCUCUACUAUUUCUUCAGGGUCAUAAUCACUGUCGUUUGAGCCAUCAUCUACUAUCUCAUUACCAUUAGCGUCAACCUCUACUACAUCAUCAUCAUCACCACUACUGUCACUUGAUUCAUCCUGGCUGUCAGAAGAAUCCGAAGAAUGGGCGCUGUCACUUGAUUCAUCCUGGCCGUCACUUGGUUCAGGGGGGGGGGGGUUGUUCAGGAGCUGGAAUGGGCGUUGGAAUAGGAGCUGGGACUGGUGGAGGUUGCCAUGCAUGCACUUGGCCAUCCAUUCUACGAAUCUGCAUGAGGAAUUCAACCCCAUUUGCCCUAGUCACACUAUUAAUUUCCAACAAGAUACUGUCCCCAAUAUCUAGUUGUAGUGCAUGCACGACAGUCUUCCAACCUGCAGCCCCAAAAGAAAAAUGCCCCCAUCCAUCAUCCAUAAUGUGCAGACCAUCAUACACCGUCCCCACAGGCUG
rnacentral:lncRNA from 1 species